AUUCCCAACGGCCUCAUCACCGUCUUGCUGAAGUUAUACUGGCCGGGGUUGUACUGUCCGGAUCCAGUCAGGCAGCCGGCUCGUCGGGUUUUGGCCACAAGCUGGGACCACUGGGAAGUGGCCCGCCACGCGGACCAUGAGACCCAUGCCAAGGCCGUGAUCACUACUUUCUGGAAAUUCUAUCGAGUUCUUCUGGAGCACAGGGCUAGAGCGGACCAGAUCGUGCUGCGCCAAUGCAAGAAGAAGGCCCGCUAGAUGCAGUACGAGGUGCGCUAUGUGGCCAUCUCCACAUACUACCACGACUAUCUUGGUGUGAAGAUGACCAAGGAAGAAGCGCGGAGGAUGGGCAUUACCUUGGAGAGGCCCGAGUUCUUGGCGGUGUGUCCAAAUUGGUGUUAUGGAAAAGACGAGUCCUGGGCGGCAUUGGUGGAUCUUUGGUGUGAUGAGGCUGGAGCCUGGGCGGCUAUGAGAACCAAAAAUAAGGCUAACCGAGGGACGGAGGGAUUACAUG